GCCGCUGUGGUGGAAUUGGCAGACACAAGGGACUUAAAAUCCCUCGGAGUUAAAUCCGUACCGGUUCAAGUCCGGUCAGCGGCACCA
rnacentral:tRNA from 1 species